GUGUCAGCCGCCGCGGUAAUACGUAGGGAGCGAGCGUUGUCCGGAUUUAUUGGGCGUAAAGAGCGCGUAGGCGGCUCGGUAAGCCGGAUGUGAAACCUCCAAGCUCAACUUGGAGCGGCCAUUCGGAACUGCUGUGGCUAGAGUCUGGUAGGGGAACACGGAAUUCCUGGUGUAGCGGUGAAAUGCUUAGAUAUCAGGAGGAACACCAGUGGCGAAGGCGGUGUUCUGGGCCAGUACUGACGCUGAGGCGCGAAAGCGUGGGGAGCGAACAGGAUUAGAUACCCCCGUAGUCC
rnacentral:rRNA from 1 species